rnacentral:tRNA from 3 species
GGGGGUAUAGUUUAAUGGUAAAAUGGCGGUCUCCAAAACCACUGUUCUUGGUUCGAGUCCAAGUACCCCUG